GCUCCUCGAACGCAUCAAGUCCCCCUGCAUCAAGCGCCGCCCUCGCCAAGACGCAUCAAGCGUUGGUGCUCUUCUGCCUCAUCGGGUGGAUGACACCCAGCGCACUCACGCGCGUGGGGUCAAGGGCGUUGACCGCGCCCCUGCCUGGGCAGAUCGCCAGCGCCUCCCCGCUCGAUCCCCUGCUCGACCGCUCGCAUGCAGCCUGAGCUCCGGCGAGGUUGAUCUGGACGGCUCGGCAGCGUCACCGGCGGUAGUAACUCUAAUAGGCCACUACACUUUCCAAAUUCCAAUGC